CGGGCGGGGCGGCAGCUACACAUGCAGUCGAGCGGUAGCACAGGGAGCUUGCUCCUGGGUGACGAGCGGCGGACGGGUGAGUAAUGUCUGGGAAACUGCCUGAUGGAGGGGGAUAACUACUGGAAACGGUAGCUAAUACCGCAUAACGUCUUCGGACCAAAGAGGGGGACCUUCGGGCCUCUUGCCAUCAGAUGUGCCCAGAUGGGAUUAGCUAGUAGGUGAGGUAAUGGCUCACCUAGGCGACGAUCCCUAGCUGGUCUGAGAGGAUGACCAGCCACACUGGAACUGAGACACGGUCCAGACUCCUACGGGAGGCAGCAGUGGGGAAUAUUGCACAAUGGGCGCAAGCCUGAUGCAGCCAUGCCGCGUGUAUGAAGAAGGCCUUCGGGUUGUAAAGUACUUUCAGCGAGGAGGAAGGCAUUGUGGUUAAUAACCGCAGUGAUUGACGUUACUCGCAGAAGAAGCACCGGCUAACUCCGUGCCAGCAGCCGCGGUAAUACGGAGGGUGCAAGCGUUAAUCGGAAUUACUGGGCGUAAAGCGCACGCAGGCGGUCUGUCAAGUCGGAUGUGAAAUCCCCGGGCUCAACCUGGGGAACUGCAUUCGAAACUGGCA
rnacentral:rRNA from 1 species